GACAGAGGAGGCAAGCGUUGUUCGGAAUUACUGGGCUUAAAGGGCGCGUAGGCGGCUCGGAAAGUGUUCUGUGAAAUCCCCCGGCUCAACCGGGGAACGGCAGGGCAAACUCCCGGGCUUGAGGUCGGUAGAGGUGCCUGGAACUCUAGGUGGAGCGGUGAAAUGCGUAGAUAUCUAGAGGAACGCCAGAGGCGAAAGCGGGGCACUGGGCCGAUUCUGACGCUGAGGCGCGAAAGCGUGGGGAG
rnacentral:rRNA from 1 species